UACGUAGGGUGCGAGCGUUGUCCGGAAUUAUUGGGCGUAAAGAGCUCGUAGGCGGUUUGUCGCGUCUGCUGUGAAAACCGGAGGCUCAACCUCCGGCCUGCAGUGGGUACGGGCAAACUAGAGUUCGGCAGGGGAGACUGGAAUUCCUGGUGUAGCGGUGAAAUGCGCAGAUAUCAGGAGGAACACCGGUGGCGAAGGCGGGUCUCUGGGCCGAUACUGACGCUGAGGAGCGAAAGCGUGGGGAGCGAACAGG
rnacentral:rRNA from 1 species